AUUGAACGCUGGCGGCAGGCCUAACACAUGCAAGUCGAGCGAGCGGCGGACGGGUGAGUAAUGUAUGGGGACUGCCCGAUAGAGGGGGAUAACUACUGGAAACGGUGGCUAAUACCGCAUACUGUCGGAUAACCCAUAUGGGAUUAGCUAGUCGGUAAGGUAAUGGCUUACCUAGGCGACGAUCCCUAGCUGGUCUGAGAGGAUGAUCAGAGACACGGGGAAUGAGACACGGCCCAGACUCCUACGGAGGCAGCAGUGGGGAAUGUUCCGCAAUGGACGAAAGUCUGACGGCGCAACGCGGCGUGAGUGGUGACGGCCUUCGGGUGGUAAAGCUCUGUGAAUCGGGAGGCGGGACCGGUAUAGAAAGCCACGGCUAACUACGUGCCAGCAGCCGCGGUAAUAC
rnacentral:rRNA from 1 species